rnacentral:rRNA from 1 species
AUACGGAGGGUGCGAGCGUUAAUCGGAAUUACUGGGCGUAAAGCGCGCGUAGGCGGCUUGUUAAGUCAGAUGUGAAAGCCCUGGGCUUAACCUGGGAACUGCAUUUGAUACUGGCAGGCUAGAGUAUGGUAGAGGGAAGUGGAAUUCCGGGUGUAGCGGUGAAAUGCGUAGAGAUCCGGAGGAACACCAGUGGCGAAGGCGACUUCCUGGACCAAUACUGACGCUGAGGUGCGAAAGCGUGGGGAGCAAACAGGAUUAGAAACCCUAGUAGUCC